AGAAAAUCACAAGAAAUGUUAUGAUCCUUCACCAACGUUUCCUCGCUGUUCGUGUGUACCAAGGAAUGCCUUCGUUUAUUAUGGUGGGGUUUUGUGGAGAGUAGGGGAGGGAGAUUGUAUCACAGGGUAAGUUGUUAUCCUUGUAGAACGCAUUUGAAAUUCUCACUCCGAUCUCUUCAUUUACCUUUUCCUUCGAAUGGUCAUUGUUAUAUCUCCAGAACAGUUCUGUACUGCAAGACAUUUUGGCUAGUGUUCAUCCCAAGUGGUGUUGUGCGUCCAUAUUUCAUGUUUUUAGGUCGGUGAUGUCACUUUGAAUUUUGUUUAAUGUUAUGUUUUUGGCCAUUGAGGGUUAUAGCACGGAGUGACUUUGGUCAUGUCUUGCCGAGAAGAAGAUUUUGGCUGUGGAGGGGUGUGGUUGCUUGUGUUUGUGCUCAAUCAAGUGCUUCGUUUUUCCACAUUUCCACUCCCCAGAUGUCGUUGCGUAUUACUCAUGUUCCAGAAAUUAUAUAUAAAAUUAAU
rnacentral:misc_RNA from 1 species